AAGGAGACUGUAAACAGAGACGCAAUGGAUGGAACCAAACGAAACUUGAGGGGACUUGAGGAUGAAGAUGAAGAUGUGUUUUUGAUCAAAUCUGAUUACGUAAAAUGCAUUGAACUUAAAUUUUCUCGAUGUUGCAGAUAAAUUCAUAAUACAAAUGAUGUUGAAGAAGAAAAGAGGAAAGGAAGUUGGACUGUACCAUUUUCUUUGCAGCUCCUAAGAUUAUUAUUGAAAAAAGAGCACUUUGAAGCACUAGGAGAAUUUGAAAACAUCUUGGUGAAAUAGUCCGACUGGAUAUGACAGAACAUCAAAAGAAAUGACGAAAAAUUACACAUCUUAUCAAAAUACUAGAAGCUAAAAGUGACUUGCAAUUUUCACUAGUUUUGAGCUCAGUAACAGUCUGACAAGGAAAGAAUUUAAAAACCAUGUAUUCAUC